GUCCUAAGGUAGCGAAAUUCCUUGUCGGGUAAGUUCCGACCCGCACGAAAGGUGUAACGAUUUGGGCACUGUCUCAACCAGAGACUCGGUGAAAUUAUAGUACCUGUGAAGAUGCAGGUUACCCGCGACAGGACGGAAAGACCCCGUGGAGCUUUACUGUAGCCUGAUAUUGAAUUUUGGUACAGUUUGUACAGGAUAGGCGGGAGCCUUUGAAACCGGGGCGCUAGCUUCGGUGGAGGCGCUGGUGGGAUACCGCCCUGACUGUAUUGAAAUUCUAACCUACGGGUCUUAUCGACCCGGGAGACAGUGUCAGGUGGGCAGUUUGACUGGGGCGGUCGCCUCCUAAAGUGUAAAGGAGGCGCCCAAAGGUUCCCUCAGAAUGGUUGGAAAUCAUUCGUAGA
rnacentral:rRNA from 1 species